UACGUAGGGGGCAAGCGUUGUCCGGAUUUAUUGGGCGUAAAGAGCUCGUAGGCGGUUCCGUAAGUCGUGAAGUCAAAUCUCUGGGCUCAACCCAGAAUCGCUUCCGAUACUGCGGUGACUGGAGUCCGGUAGGGGAGUGUGGAAUUCCUGGUGUAGCGGUGAAAUGCGCAGAGAUCAGGAAGAACAUCGGUGGCGAAGGCGCUCUGCUGGACCAUAACUGACACUCAGGGACGAAAGCUAGGGGAGCGAAUGGG
rnacentral:rRNA from 1 species